UACGUAGGGUGCAGGCGUUAGUCGGAAUUACUGGGCGUAAAGCGUGCGCAGGCGGUUUCUUAAGUCAGAUGUGAAAGCCCCGGGCUUAACCUGGGAACUGCGUUUGAAACUGGGAGACUUGAGUGUGGCAGAGGGGGGUGGAAUUCCACGUGUAGCAGUGAAAUGCGUAGAUAUGUGGAGGAACACCAAUGGCGAAGGCAGCCCCCUGGGUCAACACUGACGCUCAUGCACGAAAGCGUGGGGAGCAAACAGG
rnacentral:rRNA from 1 species